rnacentral:rRNA from 1 species
AUUGAACGCUGGCGGCAGGCCUAACACAUGCAAGUCGAGCGAGCGGCGGACGGGUGAGUAAUGUAUGGGGACUGCCCGAUAGAGGGGGAUAACUACUGGAAACGGUGGCUAAUACCGCAUACUGUCGGAUAACCCAUAUGGGAUUAGCUAGUAGGUAAGGUAAUGGCUUACCUAGGCGACGAUCCCUAGCUGGUCUGAGAGGAUGAUCAGCCACACUGGGACUGAGACACGGCCCAGACUCCUACGGAGGCAGCAGUGGGGAAUCUUCCGCAAUGGACGAAAGUCUGACGGAGCAACGCCGCGUGAGUGAUGACGGCCUUCGGGUUGUAAAGCUCUGUUAAUCGGGAGACGGUACCGGAAUAGAAAGCCACGGCUAACUACGUGCCAGCAGCCGCGGUAAUUC